rnacentral:rRNA from 1 species
AUACGGAGGGUGCGAGCGUUGUUCGGAAUUAUUGGGCGUAAAGAGCAUGUAGGCGGUCUGUUAAGUCUGGUGUGAAAGCCCGGGGCGCAACCCCGGAAGUGCAUUGGAUACUGGCAGACUUGAGUAUGGGAGAGGAAAGCGGAAUUCCGAGUGUAGGAGUGAAAUCCGUAGAUAUUCGGAGGAACACCAGUGGCGAAGGCGGCUUUCUGGACCAAUACUGACGCUGAGAUGCGAAAGCGUGGGGAGCAAACAGGAUUAGAAACCCUAGUAGUCC